rnacentral:misc_RNA from 1 species
GAAAUGCGAUAAGUAGUGUGAAUUGCAGAAUUCAGUGAAUCAUCGAAUCUUUGAACGCACAUUGCGCCCCUUGGUAUUCCAUGGGGCAUGCCUGUUCGAGCGUCAUUUGUACCCUCAAGCUCUGCUUGGUGUUGGGUGUUUGUCCCGUCUCCGCGCGUGGACUCGCCCCAAAGUGAUUGGCAGCCGGCGUACUGGUCCCGGAGCGCAGCACAUGUCGCGCAAACGAGUGCCUUGGUACGGCGGCGUCCAUAAGCCCCUCUCUCACGCUCUUGACCUCGGAUCAGGUAGGGAUAUCCGCUGAACUUAAGC